UACGAAGGGGGCUAGCGUUGCUCGGAAUCACUGGGCGUAAAGCGCACGUAGGCGGAUUGUUAAGUCAGGGGUGAAAUCCUGGAGCUCAACUCCAGAACUGCCUUUGAUACUGGAGAGCUUGAGUCCGGAAGAGGUGAGUGGAACUCCGAGUGUAGAGGUGAAAUGCGUAGAUAUCUGGAGGAACACCGGUGGCGAAGGCGACAUCCUGGACCGGUAGUUGACGCUGAGGCGCGAAAGCCAGGGGAGCAAAGCGGGG
rnacentral:rRNA from 1 species